rnacentral:rRNA from 1 species
CCUACGGGUGGCUGCAGUGAGGAAUAUUGGUCAAUGGGCGCGAGCCUGAACCAGCCAAGUCGCGUGAGGGAAGACGGCCCUAUGGGUUGUAAACCUCUUUUGUCGGGGAGCAAAAUACGCCACGCGUGGCGUUUCGAGAGUACCCGAAGAAAAAGCAUCGGCUAAUUCCGUGCCAGCAGCCGCGGUAAUACGGAGGAUGCGAGCGUUAUCCGGAUUUAUUGGGUUUAAAGGGUGCGUAGGCGGACUGUUAAGUCAGCGGUAAAAGCCCGGGGCUCAACCCCGGCGAGCCGUUGGAACUGGCUGGCUUGAGAGGGCGGGAGGUAGGCGGAAUGCGCGGUGUAGCGGUGAAAUGCUUAGAUAUUGCGCAGAACUCCGAUUGCGAAGGCAGCAUACCGGCGGGGAACUGACGCUGAGGCACGAAGGCGUGGGUAUCGAACAGGAUUAGAUACCCUUGUAGUC